CCUACGGGUGGCAGCAGUGAGGAAUAUUGGUCAAUGGACGAGAGUCUGAACCAGCCAAGUAGCGUGAAGGAUGACUGCCCUAUGGGUUGUAAACUUCUUUUAUAUGGGAAUAAAACGUUCCACGUGUGGGAUUUUGUAUGUACCCUAUGAAUAAGGAUCGGCUAACUCCGUGCCAGCAGCCGCGGUAAUACGGAGGAUCCGAGUGUUUUCCGGAUUUAUUGGGGUUAAAGGGAGCGUAGGUGGAUUGUUAAGUCAGUUGUGAAAGUUUGGGGCUCAACCGUAAAAUUGCAGUUGAAACUGGCAGGCUUGAGUACAGUAGAGGUGGGCGGAAUUCGUGGUGUAGCGGUGAAAUGCUUAGAUAUCACGAAGAACUCCGAUUGCGAAGGCAGUUCACUGGACUGCAACUGACACUGAGGCGCGAAAGUGUGGGUAUCAAACAGGAUUAGAUACCCGGGUAGUC
rnacentral:rRNA from 1 species